UAGGGAACUAGCAAUCAGCCAAGCAGCCUUGGAGGAUUCUGUUCAGUGUGCUUGGGGGCAGGGAUGAGGCUUGGGUAAUUUUCCGAAGCUUUGGAGGCCUGGUGAGGUUGACGUGAACUCUCAGGAGUAAAUUGCUCACCUCUGAGAAGUGAAUGAGCUCUCCCGGGGCACUGAGUGGUUAGAGAAAGAAGUAAUUCACUAAAUGGUGCCUCCUGCCACAGAAGCGAGCGAGCUUGGAAAUUAACUCAUCACUGAACAUUCCAGAGAAGCAUUCUUUUAGCAGGAUUGCUGGAAUCGUGACUGGAGCUAAUCCUGAGACACCACAGGCAGGCAGAUCUUGAGAAGCCGGGGUGACAUCUGUCCGGCCUGGGCUGCCUACUCUAUUUGGCUCUAGGGACAAGACCCAACCUUCUGAACAAGGUCAUAUGUCCACCCAUGUUGAGAAGAGCGACGCCUCUGGCUUCUCUCUCCAGGGAAGAAGGAGCAAGUUCACCUGGUUAUUGGAAAGUAAACAAUGGUUGGACCUUGUGGUUCUUCUCACUUCCUGUUGGGUGGGUUGUCUGCUGGAGGCCCCACGGCCGAUCGCGAUCUCCGGGAAACUUGUGCCCUUGGCCCAGCCAUCCUGUGUCUACUUGAAAAGCUCCGCCGUUGGAAGCAAGUUCGGCAGAGAAAGGUCUUUCUCCGCUCCACAGAUCUUUGUCCCCGUGUGUCUUAUUCCUUUGUCUUUUCUCGGCUUUUACAGAACUGGGAAAGAUGAGAUUUGUUUUAAAAGAUCUCCUGAGCUGAGCAAAGUGUUUGGAGGUGUCUCUCCUGGAGUUCUGACGAAGUAGGUCAGGGUUAUUUUGUCAGGGUUAUUUGUAGGCCGAGCCCCAGAGGGAAAGCAGUAAGGAAGCUACCUGCUGAGGCCCCUGCACCUGUUUUGCACAGCCCAAGCUCUUAGCUCCUGUUUCUCAGAAGAACCGCAGUAGCUUCAGGCCUUUGGCCAGAUUCUGAAGAACAAACAAGGUUUCAGGCAGAGGGAGGGUGGCAGAGGAGCCAGGCAGGGAGGAUGAUCUGGUGUAACUGGCUACACUUACUGCGCAGGUAGGUUUGUAGAGAUAUUGGCUGCGCCAGCUCCUGGCAGUAUUAAAUGGCAGGGUAAGGGGUUUCGACCUUAUCGUGUGGGGAUAUGAAGACUAAACCCUGGGAGGCAGAGAGGUGGUAGCAAGGGACAAGACUGAAGGCCUGGAAGAGGCUGCUGCAAGGACCGGGAGUUACAGUCACUGCAAGGUCACCUUCAGCUUCCCGCCCCCUCUCCAGUCCCACUCUCCUGAGCUACUCAGAGUGAGUGGCUGGGGCGUGUUGUUUCCCACAUAUUUCCUUUUGUACUCACAAACAAAUAAGGGCUUCUGGAGCACCCUUUCCUGCCUGCAGAAAAGCUGAGGGUGAUCACACCACACCCAUGCUUCUAGAACGCGCCCCUCCCCCCCACCGCCCCACUUCACACUAUUCAGCAAGCGCCUCCUAUCUACCGCUCAGGACUAUAUUUUAAUCCGCAUACAAAGCUUCCAUAAUUUAGUCAAUCAGUUUCUCACUGAUGGGUAUUUCGAUUAUUUCAAUUUUUUUUAACAUUAAAGAAAAGGCAAUACAAUAGCUGUUCUUAAAAUCCACUUCUGUGUACUUACUUCAAUAUUUAUUUUAGCAGAACACAGAUGCUCAAAACUAAUGCCUUGAGGGCCAGUGAAAUGGCUCAGCGAGUAAAGGUGCUUGCGGCCAAACCCAACAACCUAAAUUCCAUCCCAGGACCCACGUGGUGGAAAAAGACAACUGAUUUCCCGUAAGUUGUCCUCUGACCUACACACACACACACACACACACACACACACACACACACACACACCUUGGCACAUGUGCGUGAGAACACACACAAAUAAAUAGAUAAAUGUGAUUAACAUAGUUUUUAAUCCAGUAAUACUACCAGAUUAAAGAGAAGUUCCACUUUAAAAUUUUAGUAGGUAUGUCUACAUUGCCUCUUAAAAUAGUUUAGUAAUUAAUUCUCACUGCUGUACGGAUGAAUUUGAUGACAGGAAAGGCAGAGUCUGGGGAGACAUGGGUGGGAGAAUCUUUUCAUUAACUGGAUCUCUUGUAUUGUGCUCAUUGAGGUACAAAUUGGUAUAAUUAUUUUGACAAGUAAUUUAGCAAUUAUCUUACAAAAUUACAAUGCAUUCAGUGACCCAGCAAUUUCACCACUAGGCAUAUACAGAAGGAAAAGGCCGUCCUCAUACAACCAUAUUACAGCAGCAUUCCUGGUAAAAGAGGGGGAGGCACAGAAACAGCCAUGCCCUUUGACAUGUAUCCUGGCUAGUUUUAUGUCAACUUGGCAUAGGCUAGAGUCAUCAGAGAGGAGGCAACCUCCUCUGAGGAAACGCCUCCAGAAGGCAAGUCUAUAGGGGCACAUUCUUAAUUAGUGAUUGACGUGGAGAGCUCAUUCCAUUGUGGGUGGGGCCAGCCCUGGGCUGGUGGUUCUGGCUCCUGUAGGAAAGCGGGCUGAGCAAGCCAGUAACCUUGCUCAUGGGUUCCUCCAUGGCCUCUGCGUCAGCUCCUGCCUUCAGGUUCCUGUCCUGUUUGAGUUCCUGCCCUGAUUUCUUUUGAUGAUGAACCGUGAUGUGGGAGUGUAAGCCAAAUAAAUCUUUUCCUCCUUAA